AAGUGGCCCUCAUGCUAGGUUCACUCCCUUCUUGGACCCUGGUUCACACAUUACACACCGAAAUGGUGAGAACAACAAGAGUGAGUUGAUGACUCAGUAAGUAGAAAUCCAUAAUUCUUCUAAAGGAUGACACAUCGUCGAUUGUUAGAUACAAGGUCACCACCCACUUAUUGAUGGCAAAUCAAUAACAAAGUUUGUGCCUUGCCUUGCUUAUGC
rnacentral:lncRNA from 1 species